AACGCGAAGAACCUUACCAGCCCUUGACAUCCCGGUCGCGGACUCCAGAGAUGGAGUUCUUCAGUUCGGCUGGACCGGAGACAGGUGCUGCAUGGCUGUCGUCAGCUCGUGUCGUGAGAUGUUGGGUUAAGUCCCGCAACGAGCGCAACCCCCGUCCUUAGUUGCUACCAUUUAGUUGAGCACUCUAAGGAGACUGCCGGUGAUAAGCCGCGAGGAAGGUGGGGAUGACGUCAAGUCCUCAUGGCCCUUACGGGCUGGGCUACACACGUGCUACAAUGGCGGUGACAAUGGGAUGCGAAGGCGCAAGUCCUAGCAAAUCUCAAAAAGCCGUCUCAGUUCGGAUUGGGCUCUGCAACUCGAGCCCAUGAAGUUGGAAUCGCUAGUAAUCGUGGAUCAGCACGCCACGGUGAAUACGUUCCCGGGCCUUGUA
rnacentral:rRNA from 1 species